GUCAGAAUGAUAAUAAACAUACUAUCAUGCUUACAAACUGGCUAUCAUGCUUGCUGAUAUACCAGUGCAUCUAAUUACUAACUUCACAUAUGCAUUAUUUAAUGCUGUACUUUUGAAAAAUGUAAGAUUUAAGAUUCUAGCAGCUUCUCUGAAGAAAUAAUUAGAAUUUUGUACUGCUGCAGCUGUUCUAUAAGUCAUUUGACUACAUGAGCACUGCAAACAAUGUGAACUGCGCUGAAUUAUGAAUAAUGAAAUUUAUUACAGAAGCAGGUAGUAUGAUAUAAAGGUAGGAAUACACUAGUGUACAGGCCUCUGUGUCCCAAGUGCCUUGUAGUACAAAGACAAUUGCAACAUGGCCUAAAGCAGAUCAUGUUAAACACACCAACAACACAUAAUACACAACUUUUUUACCUUCGGACAGUUAAGAACAUGGAUUAACAAUAUUUAAAAUAUGCUCGUGUUCAUGACAUGCCCCUUUCAGUAUAUUCAACAGUAUAAUAACUUCUUCUGUGCUUUCUGAAAGAGAUGAAAGUGUAAUGCGGGAAAGACUUUGGAGUUUGUGUGCUGGAAGGACUUUGGAUUUUCCUCAUCAGUACUUAGUUAAACUACAGGAGAAAUGAGUUAUGUAAAGCUGUGAUGGGUCACAUACUGACUCGUUCUUCUGAGCAGGCUGACAUUUUAAUUAUGCUCCCUUAUCUGAUGGAUUUUCAGCUAGUCCUCACCACACGUCAUAAGCCUGCUCUUUAUUGUUUUCUUCUUUAUCAUAUAUCCUUAGAUUCAGCCUGUCAAUGAGACAAUGAAACUCAUUUGGCCCAACUUUGACUGAAGUUUGAACAUGCUGUACAUUAUAGAAUAACUUUUUUUCAAAUCUAUCGUGUUCAAAAAGUGCAUGAAUCAAGUAUAUCAAGAAGUAACAGUGAGGGAUUUCGGUCCCAUGUGACACAAACUGGUAUAUAGAUGAACUAUGAUGUAGAAUUCUUUAAGCUGCAAAAUAGAGAGUACUUUAUUGAUCUUUAUUGAAUUUUAUUAUACUCAAUAUACUAAGGAAUGAAUUCCUUUUUAUUUUAUUUUAUUUGCUUACAUCAAAUACAUCAUCAUAAAAAUAUUUAUGAAAUGUUUAAUAUUUAAUUCCAUGUUCCACCCAAGGCUAUUAAAAUAAAUUAAAUACGUACUGUACUGUAUAUACUAAUGCUAAACACCACGUAGGUCUAAAGCGGUUUUGCUAUUUGGUAUGGCUUUGAAAAAAAGAUAUAAAUAUAUUUAUAUAUUUUACAUAAAUAGUACAAAUGGCACUGAUCCAAUACCCAGUAUAUCGAAUCAUAUCAGAUUGUGUAAGAAAUGGCAAAGCUUGGACUUGAAUUUGGAAAAUAAAUUUAUUCGUGGAACAGGAAAUGUUUACAUAUGAAGCGACUUGAACAGUUUUCCCUUUGUUUGCAUUGAUUUUAGUAUAUGUAUACUUAUUUGUAUAUGCUUUAUUAUAUAUACAAUGUAAGUGAUUUUUGUGUGUGAAAUAAAAAAAACAAAACACACACUUUAAUGCUUAGCAGUUAAAAAAAAUAAUAUCAUGGAUAUUAGUAUUGGCUGAUAUUAAAGAUUUGAGUAUCGGUAUCGAAAAAUGAAAAGUGGUAUCAUGCCAUCUCUACUAAAUAGCUAUACUAUAGUAUAAAACGGUGAGUAUGUUAUAUAGUAUUUAGCUAGUAGUAACCUAGUGUACAAGGUUCUGUGUCCCACAUGCUUCGUAGUACAAAGAUUAUUCAAACGUGCCUGAGUACAGAUCACACUAAACACAGAAACACUGAUCUUUUUUAGAAAAUAGCCUGAGAGGAAAUGUUGUUUCUGCUCUAGCGGUUCUCAUACAGUUGUACUAACAGUGCGAAUAAUGACUUCACUAUAAACGCUAGCACGUUGAGUAAAACUGCUGUAAUGCAAUAUCAUAAAUGACACCUAAUAUAUCCAUGAUUAAACUCUUUUUCCUGUUGUCUGAUAUCCCAGUUUGGCAACCGUACCACAUAUAUACAUAUAUUAAUAACAUAACAUUCUGUAGUGCAAAAAUAAACAAUGUAGUCCAGUACAAUAUUUUACAUGAAUAUUAAAAGUAUAGGUAAGUGUCUAUUAAGUAAUAAUCAUCGUAUAAGCAUGAGGACCUCUGACUAUGUUCUCAACGAUGAUGUCAUCACCUAUAAAAUGAAAAUAUUAGACAUUAGAUUUAGUAAGUCUUAAAGGAGAUCAAGAACCUUUUCAUCUCCGUGUGAGUGAAGCAUGGUGUGAAAUGACAUAUACAGUCUUGUUUAACCUACACAGAAUGGUACAGAUGUUUCAGUUUGCCUAUUUUUUUUAUUAUUUUUUUUGCACAUCUGUGUAGAUGCUUUGUUUUACAUCCACAAAUAUAUCAUGAGUAAAGUCUUAACACAGCUUUCCAAAAAGAACAACAGAAAUUCACAAAUACCUAAAAGAAGUGUUGUUUUAGAAAGAAAAAAAAAAUGCUUCUUUUUCCUUUCAGAAAAGAAAAGUGUCGUUGGAAAAGGCUCCAAAGGUUCUCCACCCACACAGAGAAAUAAAAACAACACUGUUCUAUGGUAUGCUCAGAUCUUUAGAUUUUGACGUGUCUAUGGACAUGCACGAUGGCGCCGUAUAGCUCGCAAGCAAUUUCGGCUAAUAAUGUUGAUCUAAUGUGACGAUCCGUGCAGGAAAAUCUCAUUCGGAGAUGGACACCCUGAAUCUCCUCGUGCUUCACGUCCAAUCCCUGCACCAGCUACCUUAGACUUAAUAGGUAAGAGCAAUAACCUUGUGUUAGUCAUCGACACAGCCUGAGAGUUUGUGUGAAAAUGGAAACGCAGAUACGCCACAGAACAAAAGAAGAAGAGUUCUACAGAACUACAGAGUGAAAAUAUGGAAAAUGAAUAAAGUAACGAAUGAUUAUCAACCUGUAAACCUGUCGAUUCAUGUAUACAUGACGAUGUUGCACGCUGUUAUGAAUAAUAAUUGAUGCAGAUGUGUUUAGUCGUGUCACAACCUCUCACAAACACUAACAUAUUAGUAUUAAAACUCUUCAUAAUCAAUAUACCUGGAUUUAAAUUUUGCACUCGUUUUAAAAGCUCUAUUAUGCUUUAUUUAUUAUGCUUUAUUAUUUUUUUUAUUAUUAUUAUUAGAAUUUAAGUUUCAAUGUCCAAUAAAGCCUUAUGUAGUGAAGUCUGUCUCAGAGGAUGAACUUCAACGCAGACUACGUCCCAAAUCCUCACACUACACUACUGUAUGACAAAAAUACUAAUAUAACUAGUGCAUGUGGCGUUAGUCUAUUUUUAACUCAUUGUUUGGUGCGGAUUUGGGACGCAGCCCAAGUGAUUAAAAUAUGCGCAAAUCAGAUGCGCAACUAUAAACGCAGCAACUUUCUCCUUAGGCCACAUGUGUCUUUUGUACUAAAUCGAUACACAGAUUGACUCUCUCUCUCUCUCUCUCUCUCUCUCUC
ensembl:lncRNA